ensembl:lncRNA
CCAAGAUCCGAACCCACAAACCCAGACCACUACAGCAGAGCAUGCAGGACUUUAACCACUUGGUGACGAAGCCAGGCCGAAUUUUUUGUUUUUUUUUUUUUACUUUACGACUAUGCAUAGACCACAGGCUGAUAAAUUUCUCCUUCAUUCUCUUUGAAUGGGGCAAUUCCCACUCAGCUGGCUAUUUUCCCCAGAAUAGUAUAGGAGGAAUAUUUUUGACUGUCUUCCUUAUUAACUCAAAAAGUCCCUUCAGCCUCCUCCCUUAGGAAUUGAGUGAAAAGUUGGAUGUUGGAUGAAGAAUUUAUCUGAGAGGAAAUUUCUGGGGCUUGGGGAAUAUUCGACUGUGGAAUUCUGUUUCUGAGUUUCUCCGUGAACGCAGGAACAUCUUCAUUGUUUUUUAGUGUAUGCUUUAUGCUUUCAAGUUUGGGGAAUGUCCACGUCUUGGAUUUCAGCACAUAGUCACUUGUCAGUUGCCCACUUUGGUGAGAAGAUGAGUAGCAAUGAAUCAUCUCCUUCUUCUUUUUGGUGGAUAGCUGUAUAAUUUCUCCUGAAUUGGGCCUAUUGCUGAAAAGUCAGCUCACGUCCGUAUAUCAUCUCUCCUGUUUGGAAGCUGGACCAGAGAAGACAAUGGUAAAGUUUCCCCUGUGCCAUCCAACUUCCCCACUCACCAUCUUGUUUCGGGGACCAUCCUGUGAAGGCACAGCAUAAACCUCGAAGAGGGAUGUUUCAAGCAUUAGUCAGGGAGCAAGGAUGACUCUGUGGCCCUUCAAGGUGUCUGUGAAACCAAGGCAAUGAGAAAGUAUGUGCGGGAGACAUCUGCAUGGGCACACCCCAAUAACCUGGAAAUAAGGGAAAUAUGAUUGCCUUCUGGCACUUAUACUGUGAAGUCAACACAAAAUGGGUCAUAGCAGAGUCCUGCAGAGCCGCCUUAAGGAAGUGAAAUGCCUUCCAGGUUUUGUCUGGGUGGCCAAAGGAACCAAGAGGAUUAUCUGUACUCUGAAGUCACACUUUUCCCAAAUAUCCCAUGGUAAGGACUUAUUCUGCAGUUACCUCCACUGUCUGCCGGCUUGCCUGUAAAAAGGAGGAGAAAUUGCAGAAAAGCAUGAACAGCACCAGUCUAGCACCAUUGUCCUCAGAGGCAUCAGAGCCUGCAAGGGUCAAGCCUCCUCCACGGCCACCUGCGACUCCACUAACAGCUGUGCCAGCUGAAAGAGAAUCACUACAUGCUGCCUCAUAUUGGCUGUCCCUUCAUUUGCUAAGCUAUCUUUAAAGGAAUGAAGAACUCAGAGUAUAGAAAGAGGAAUGAAGCAAGCAUUACAAGACAGAGAACUGGACAACAGUCCCCAUCCAUAUACUGAUUAGUGAUCCUCACUGUAAGCUUGGAAAUAGGCAGCUCCCUGCCCUGGCAAGAAAACUCACCUCUGAAGUGUCUUCUGGCAAAUCUAAUUAAGUAAGCUAGCCAAGAAGCUAAAUUGCACAGAUUUCACCUGACCCUGACACUUUCUAGGGUUGUCCUAACUUCUGGAUGCCAACGGCACACAAGUUCUUCUCUGAGUUCUGUGGAUAGUUUUGAAUCUGGAAAAAUAAACGUCCCAGAGCAGAACAUUGUCCCAACAACCCAGUAACCCAGGUGGGUCCUGGCUCAGAGAGGAAAAGGGAGGCAGAGUUUGGAGCAAGAAGGCAUCUGUCUGCAGUGUUCUCACCUCCACCCACUUACCCACCUACGCAAGACUGCCCUUGAGCAGUCAACUCAGGCGAGACUGAUUCCGCCUCCUUCCCAGGGUGAGGGCAGCUGCAGCUUCCACGGGAGCACAUUCUCACGCUGCAGUCAUGCAUGUCUUUACAGGAAAGAAGAACUUUCCUUAAUUUUUGUGAGAAUUUUGUGAUGUUUUACGCUUCAGAGUUAAGGAUAAUUUCAUUGUUACAUUCAGCAAUGCGAUUUAAUGAUUUGGGGAAUGAUUGUUGCAGCGCUUGGCAAACAAAAUAAGCCCCUUUUGCCUUGUUGAUGGAUAAUAAAGUUCUCCCCAGUGCAUUUUCUUCCUUUUGGAUACUUUGAAUAAAACUCUAAAAACAGAA